CUUACUUAUUCAUGAUAUUCAUUCCCAGGUCGGUCACCUGCCUCCCCGGGAGGAACCUGCCAAGUCCAUCACCCCACAUCGCACAGCUUCUAGCUAGGCUCAGUGCAUGAUGCUUGGGAUGCAGGCAGUUCCUCACCUACCUCGUCCCUCGCGUGUUCAUGGAUGCUGGCUUGGCUGGCACUGAGAAACUUCCCGAAGCUUCAGACAGAUAACCAAGUGCCUCAUGGGUGACCUGGUUCCAGAACUAUUGCCCUGGUGUCUCUGCCCAUCCUAAUUGCUACAGCUUUGGCGAACUUCAGCAAAUGGCAGGAAAUCCCAGCCUCAGUGAGAAGCCAGGACUAAAAAGGCAGCCUGCCUUGGAAUGGGCUGUGGGAAUACAUCAGUCAUUCAAGCAGGCAGCAAGAAACACUAAGCACGGGGCCACCAAAGGGCCUCAGCUGCUCUGUUCUGCUCUGUGGAGCAAGCUCACCUCCCUUCCUCGUCUGCCACUUGCUUCCUAGGGCUGAGGAAAAUGCUCAGAUAGUUAACUCCAGGCACCAGGAGCCGAUGGAGUAAGGACAACAUCAGUAAAGAGAAAAACGAGCAGCAACUGACAUACAUCCCAGUCCCUGAGGUGUCUUUCCCAGCAGGGAGAAGCAUCUAAAGACAAGAGCGGAAAACAGCGAGUUUGCAAAUAAACUAAACAAGGACUGAGAGCACAGCAUUUGUCUCGUGAUACUCAAUUGCCACGGAGAUUAUUAGUAUCUGUACUAAUAACAGAUACUAAUAGCCAUUGAUUCCCCACAGGGGGUCCCUACACUGCAAUCUGUAAACACAGUCGGGGGAGAAGUCUGGUAGAGUGAGAUAGGAAAAGCCUGCCUUACCGAAGUCUGCCUUUUACAAAGAGAUGGAGACGGGGACCCUCUUGUAGAAAACGGAACUGUAAAGAAGCAUUUCUUGCCGACAUGAAAGAACUGUCCAGGUUUGAAUAUCGUCAUCCUUAAAGCAUCGCACCCAUGUCUAUUACUUUUUGACUUUGUCACCUCAAGUAGCUGCCAGCUGACAUCAGUGCUGCCAGAGCAGGAUGUGUCUGGCUCGGUAUUUAGU